UGACAAACACUGCUCCGCUUUGCCUCGCAUCUGUCCCACUGACUCUCUCUCUCUCUCUCUCUCUCUCUCUCUCUUUUCUCUCAAUAUAACCAGUGUCAUCCUCCCUCCCUCUCUCUCUCUCCAAAUGACCCAGCAGUUUUUGGACGGGGGUCCAUCUGUCCGGCUGUAAACUCUUCCUCCUCCUCCUCCUCCUCCUCCUCCUCCUCUUGCAGUGGUUGGUUGCUGCGUGACAGCUGAGGGUUUCUGAGGUUUCACACUUCUGAUCAAAGACAAGAAGAAAAAGAAGAAGAAGAAGAAGAGGAGGAGCUGCAUUAAUAUUGCAGAUCUCUACAUGGCUGAAUCGGAGACGACAGCAGAUUAGCAGAACUGUUUUAUGUGUGCCAAAACAGAUUGACAGAGAGCACUGCGGUCAAAUCUGUUCCUCAGAGGUUGAUAUUUUUCCAGUGUGUGAUAAAAGUGUGUGAUCAGCUCGCAUCAUUUCUAUGAGUGGCCCUAGACCCAAUUCAUGGCCUGUCCUCUGUGAUUUUGUGUGAGCUCCUUAUAUUUAGAGGAUUGACUUUUGACUUGUGGUUUUAAAUCAAUCAUUUUUGCACGUGAGACUGCCCUGCUGACAGUAUAAUUCUAUUUUUUCUCCUUACAUAUAUGUAUAAAUAUAUACAUACAUAUAUGAAUUAAAAAAAAUUCUAUUAUGUCCUUUUUUUUUGUUAUUUAUGAUAUUAAAAUAUUUUUCACACUAUUUUGAAUAAAUCAAUUUCUAGAAUGUUUUGUUCUUUCUUUACUUGACCUUAAUCAAUUAACACACACAUAUAUAGAUACACACAGACAUAUAUAUACAGUAUAUAUAUAAUUUAAAAGUGACCACAGAAAUGCAACCAAAGUGGGUAUGUGCAGUUGUUGACGCUGUGUUAUGAAACAUACCAUUUUGGGGGGUAUUUCCUAAUUUAAUAGGGGCGUUUCAUUAUACAGUGUUAACAGCUGCAUAUGAAUUUUACUUCAAGCUUGGACCAAAGUGCUGAAAUUGCCACAAAAUAGCAAGUAAUUGUCAGAAAGAGAUUAUGAAAAGCAUACAGUAUAACUAAAAUAUACAUGCAUAUAGUUUGUGUUGUUUUUUAGAUAUGUGGACAUGUCUUUGUUGCAGGUCUUGGUCAUGAAUGUCCUCUAUUAUAGAUAAUAUAUAAGAUGUAUAAUACAUGUCCUUUCAUUUGAUUGGCCUGAGAGCUCUGGUUUGACAAACUGACUGUAGCAUAAAAGUCACUAGGUGAUUGUUGGGUAUUAUCAUAAAGAAACGUCACAACAAACAUUGCACUGGAUUCGAGUAUGUGGCUUCUCGUUCAUCGCUUUGGACAGAAACAUCUGCUAAAUGAAUAAGUGAUCAUGUAAAUGUCUCACUUGUUUUCCUGCCUGUAGCCAACCUUCUAUUCUACAGACACUGAUAUUUUCAAUAGUUUCAUAAUUUAGUUUUUGUAAUUAAUAUGUAUUUCAUUAGAAAACUAGAAAAGAGCAAACAACAAAAACACAUAUUCAUACAUACUUAAAACCAGUUGUUCUUAUUGCUCAUUUACCUACCUACAUUCUUUCUAAUCUUAUUUACUCAUUCUUUCAUUUGUCCGUUGUGUAUCUGUUUAUGUUUUCCCUGUCGGCUCUUUCCACUCUCCACUGCUGCACUGACCUUGUUUCCUCCUGCGGGAAUCAAUAAAGUUUUUCUCUUUAUCUUUUGACUCCAACAAUUGCACCAAUGUGACACUGGACAUUUCCAGUUAAUCAGGCAAUUGUGUUCUGUUAUUCAUCUGUCUUUUUCAGCUUUAAAUGAUCUCUUUCAUUUUAUCUCAGCAGCGGACUGUUUGUCUCAUGCAGAUCAAUAAAGUUUCAUCGUUCUAAACAUGAUCUUUGUUGCUGAAUCAUAAAAAAAACGGAACUCAAUCCAACACAGUGACAAAGGUAAUUACAUAUUUUUUUAAAUGUUGUGUUUUCUUUUCAGCCUCAUCUGAUUAUUGUGUUAACAUUUAUUUUUGACAUUUUCAAACACUGAACUGUAAAAUAUCAAAUGUAUGACAGUUAACAAAUUGCUUUAUUCAAAUGAAAAAUAAUCCCAAUCUGUGAGAUUGUUUUCAAUCCAGCUGUUGACUCCUGCAGGUCUUCUUUUGUCACCAGCUGCUGACAUAAGAGAGGGGGGCUAAAAGGGUCAGAGGUCAGAGGUCAGCCACCCCUGGCACACGCCAUCUGACCUCUCUCAUUUACAUACACGCUGACCUAUAUUCUUGUGACAGUUGUUUCUGUUUCUGUUAAAUAAAAGAAUAAUAAGACUACUUUUUUGAUAUUCUAUUUUCAAAGAUUUUUUGCCAUUUAACAUGAAUAUUUCCCUACAUAUUUUUAUUUUAUGUAUUCAAUUGUUUAUCUUUUUUGUUCUGUUUUUAUUUUGGUUUAUGUUAUAAAUAUCAUUGUGAUCUACUGGUAUAGAAAUAAUGACAUCAUUCAUCAGUAAGAGAUAGUGAUUGAUUAUGCGUUUGGGGACGGGACUUGACACACACACACACACACACGCGCGCACACACACACACACACACACACACACACACACACAUUCAUUAACAUUGAUAAAUUUAGUUUCUCAGUUUCAAUUCAAAAUGCCAUAUUUGACUUUAAUUCACUGUAACAGUGUCAUAUCACUGAUUGAGAUCCCUUUCUUUUUAAAAUUCAUCAUAAUGUAGUAUUAGUUGUUUAGUGCACUUUAUGUUUAUUCAUUUUGUGAAAUAAAAAUAAGUUUGCACAUGCAUUUAUUUACUUGGAGAAAGAAAGAUUUUCUUGUUGACAGUAUGUUGCUGCAACUCCAUGUUUGUUGCCGAUGUGCUGGCAGCUUUUAAAGACAACUUUCAAAAUUGUUGUCACUUUGA